rnacentral:sRNA from 1 species
CGCUAUACUAGCCGCUGAAACAACCGGCCUACCGCUUCGGACCGGUUUUCACU